UCUACAUUUUACUGAAAUUUGUAUUCGCUAUUUUGUGUAUUUUUAAUCUUUAAAAAUGAAUCAAUGUAAUACUUGUGGUAAAAUAUUUUCAACUGUAAGUAACCUAAUCAACAUAAAAAAAUUCAUAGUGAUGUGCGGUUUAGUUGUAAUGCAUGUGCAAACAAAUUUACAAGAAAGAGCGUUUUAAUCAGACACCAGAAACUGUUACAUGAUGAAACCCGGCCAGUACAAUUAAAUGUAACUAAAAGAAAUGACGUAAACCUUAAUAUUAAUAAACCGUUUCAAAGUGUUACUAUACCUGAUUGUAAACCAUCGACUUCGACUAACGUGUAAAAAGAAAACACCCGUUUGACGAUUAUUGGGGUGAUAAUGAAGCAGAUAGCCUUUGUUUACAAGCAGAAUCUAGGGGAAAAAAUACAAAGAAAUUUAGAGUAAAUAACAUAAAUACUAGUGGUUUUAGUUUAAUACAACAGGAGUUUGGAGGGUUACACAAGACAUUUUACAAAAAGAAUUUAAAACGUAUUCUUAAUUAUGGAGUGUUUUUGAAGGAAGCACGGCCUGAGUUAAUUGCUUUGCUUAAACGUCUCUUAACCGAUAGCCCUAUUAAGUACAGUUUAAAACUAGAGUCUACAUAUGUUAUUCCGAAUAAAGCUGAAUCUGUAGAAAAUAGAUCUUUUAAAACUACAUCACGAAGU